rnacentral:rRNA from 1 species
UGAGGAAUAUUGGUCAAUGGACGCAAGUCUGAACCAGCCAAGUAGCGUGCAGGAUGACGGCCCUAUGGGUUGUAAACUGCUUUUAUAUGGGAAUAAAGUGAGGGACGUGUCCCUUAUUGCAUGUACCAUAUGAAUAAGGACCGGCUAAUUCCGUGCCAGCAGCCGCGGUAAUACGGAAGGUCCAGGCGUUAUCCGGAUUUAUUGGGUUUAAAGGGAGCGUAGGCUGUUUGUUAAGCGUGUUGUGAAAUGUAAGAGCUCAACUUUUAGAUUGCAGCGCGAACUGGCAGACUUGAGUGCGCACAACGUAGGCGGAAUUCAUGGUGUAGCGGUGAAAUGCUUAGAUAUCAUGACGAACUCCGAUUGCGAAGGCAGCUUACGGGAGCGCAACUGACGCUAAAGCUCGAAGGUGCGGGUAUCGAACAGG